AAAUUGAAGAGUUUGAUCAUGGCUCAGAUUGAACGCUGGCGGCAGGCCUAACACAUGCAAGUCGAGCGGAAACGAGUUAUCUGAGCCUUCGGGGAACGAUAACGGCGUCGAGCGGCGGACGGGUGAGUAAUGCCUAGGAAAUUGCCCUGAUGUGGGGGAUAACCAUUGGAAACGAUGGCUAAUACCGCAUAAUGCCUACGGGCCAAAGAGGGGGACCUUCGGGCCUCUCGCGUCAGGAUAUGCCUAGGUGGGAUUAGCUAGUUGGUGAGGUAAGGGCUCACCAAGGC
rnacentral:rRNA from 1 species